CCUACGGGUGGCAGCAGUGAGGAAUAUUGGUCAAUGGCCGGAAGCCUGAACCAGCCAAGCCGCGUGAAGGACGAAGGUGCCAUGGAUUGUAAACUUCUUUUGUCAAGGGACAAAAUCAGGCUCGAGAGCCUGACCGAGGGUACUUGAAGAAAAAGCAUCGGCUAACUCCGUGCCAGCAGCCGCGGUAAUACGGAGGAUGCGAGCGUUAUCCGGAUUUAUUGGGUUUAAAGGGUGCGUAGGCGGACGGUUAAGUCAGCGGUAAAAGGCAGGGGCUCAACCCCGGCGAGCCGUUGAAACUGGCUGUCUUGAGUGGUCGAGAGGUAUGCGGAAUGCGCAGUGUAGCGGUGAAAUGCUUAGAUAUUGCGCAGAACUCCGAUUGCGAAGGCAGCAUACCGGCGGCGAUCUGACGCUGAGGCACGAAAGCGUAGGUAUCGAACAGGAUUAGAUACCCGAGUAGUC
rnacentral:rRNA from 1 species